rnacentral:lncRNA from 1 species
CAGGACUUCCCGUUUCCUGAAUCUGCUGCUAUGUUUGUGGAGUUUAAAUAUUGUCCAGAUCAAGACUCUAUGGAGAAAUGUGGUCUGAUCCUUAUAAUUAGCAAUGAAAAGACUACAACUGAAAUCCCUGGAAUUCUGGAUAAGAGCCUCUGUCAACCCAUUCUUCUCUCCUUUCAAGGGUAUGAAGACACCUAGAAGCAGCUAGAGAGCAGCAAGUAAACCAAGAGAUAGGGUCCCAAAAAGCAAGAUGCAGCAGAGAAGAAGCACUCGCGUUGUGCGAGAGCAGUCUUGCAAGGUGGAGCGCGAUCCCGGAAGGUUUAUAUGCAGUCUCGUCUUUCCGAACAGCUGCCGCAGCAGAUCUCCCAUGGCAGAGAGGGGCCUAGAUCGAGUCAGCACCAAGACAGAAGUCCUCAGACUGGACACAGAAAUGCUCCAACCAAUGUGUGGCAAAGACAGAGUCUGGGAUGCAAAAUCAUCUCUGGUCAAGGAAGAGAGAAGUAAUACCGCCAGAACUGGCAGGUCAUCGUUGAAGAAUAAUCAAAGUCAGUGGCCACUUCAGCAUAUAAAGCAGGAAAUAGCGGGUACACAGCUCUGUUUUCACCCUGGGCAUCUUGAUCUGAGGUUUGGAAAAUCCAUGCAGAAGAUAAGCAAGACUUCACUCUGUUGCCUGGGCAGCUGGUGGAAGAGUCCAUCUAGCGUGCUGGUUUCCGGGAGGCUAUGCGGUGUGGUCAAGAGAAGCAAGCACAUCGUGUGCUUGCAGAUGGCAUGCAAAUGUUCUCCUGUUAAAGCUACAACUACUGGCUUCGACGCAGAAUCAUAA